GAUGGAGGAGAGGAGAGCGAUGUGUUGAUACAGGGGAGACAGAUGGACAUCUGUGGAUUAGGUGAAGGAGGGGUUGAGGUCAGGAGGAGAGGACAGCGAUGUGUUGAUACAGGGAGACAGAUGGACAUCUGUGGAUUAGGUGAAGGAGGGGUUGAGGUCAGGACAGAGAUGUGUUGAUACAUGGGGAGACAGAUGGACAUCUGUGGAUUAGGUGAAGGAGGGGUUGAGGUCAGGAGGAGAGGACAGCGAUGUGUUGAUA
ensembl:lncRNA